rnacentral:lncRNA from 1 species
ACUCAAAGGUGUGAAUAUCCAGAGGCAAGGACAUUGGAAACCAUCGUGGAGACUGGCUACCACAGCUGGUCAAUAGCAGAACUGAAUAGAUGCAAUUCGACACAGUCUGGCUCCAGAGUUAGGAAGCAUGAACACCCUCUUAUACUGGCUUAGUAUGAUGAAAAAACACCAGUGAUGUGGCUGGACUCCAGGGUGAAUGGCCAUGUCAGACCCCAGAGAUGCUGCAUCCUUAACCUUAUUCUCCCAGCCUCAAAGAUUCCCUAGGCAUGGCAGGCUAUGAAGCAGAGACACGAAUCAAGGUGAUGAGGGCUGGGGCAUUAAAUGGUAACCUGGAUGGACAGUAGACUAGGAGGCUCCUCUAAUGCCAUAUCACUGCAGGAGUCGCAGAACGUUGGCACAAUUCAGGGAAGUCCCCCUAAGUUGAAUUGACAGCCAUUUUGAUGGGAUAGAGACUAAAGGUUGAAGUUAAUUUGAUUUCCAGAAUAUGAAGAAAUUAGAUGUUUUGGGCAUGUAUAAGUUUAUGAACUGAGAUUCAAACUCACAAUAUCAAUAGUACAAAGCACUGUGUAAUAAAGCCAAGCAAUCAGC